ensembl:snRNA U6 U6 spliceosomal RNA
GUGCUCGCUUUGGCAGCACACAUACUAAAACUGGAAUGAUACAGAGAAGAUUGGCCCCUGCAAAAGGAUGACAUUGCAAAUUUGUGAAGCAUUCCAUAUUUAA